rnacentral:rRNA from 1 species
UACGUAGGGGGCAAGCGUUGUCCGGAAUCAUUGGGCGUAAAGCGCGUGUAGGCGGCUUGGUAAGUCUGCUCUGAAAGCCCGGGGCUCAACCCUGGGAGGCGGGUGGAUACUGCUGAGCUCGAGUCCGGAAGAGGAGAGUGGAAUUCCUGGUGUAGCGGUGAAAUGCGCAGAUAUCAGGAAGAACACCAAUGGCGAAAGCAGCUUUCUGGGACGGUACUGACGCUGAGACGCGAAAGCGUGGGGAGCGAACAGG